CGUGCAGGCGGUUUGGUAAGUUGGAUGUGAAAGCUCCUGGCUUAACUGGGAGAGGUCGUUCAAUACUGCCAGACUAGAGGACGGUAGAGGAAGGUAGAAUUCCUGGCGUAGUGGUGAAAUGCGUAGAUAUCAGGAGGAAUACCAGAGGCGAAGGCGGCCUUCUGGGCCGUUCCUGACGCUAAGACGCGAAAGCAUGGGUAGCAAACG
rnacentral:rRNA from 1 species